rnacentral:tRNA from 1 species
AUCCCUGUAGCGCAAUGAAUAGCGCGUUGGACUUCUAAUCCAAAGGUCGUGGGUUCGAAUCCCACCUGGGAUG